AAAUGCGCCUCAACGAUAUCGGUAGUUGUCAGCAAACACUAGUUUGUUCUGAGCUGUGGAACUACAGUUUUUAUUUGCUGGAGAUGUCGAAAGGCCCGAAAGCUAUUGCUUUUGGGGAAAUUUACUCUGUAUAGAUCAAGAGCAUCUAAUAAGCAUAUAUAUUUUUAAUUAGCAUAGAAGGAAUCUAGUAGGCGUUUGCUCAUAAACUUGGUUGAAACAUGAAAAAAAGACAGCUUUGACGUUGAUUGUCAAAAUGGUACUGAUACUCCGAAUAUAUUUUUG
rnacentral:misc_RNA from 1 species